AGCAACUUGCUUCUCUAUCAACUUCAAUGAAUCGAAUUGAUAGAAAUGUGUCUCGCACGGAAAGAAAUGUGCGAAGACUUAGUGAAGAACUCCACGGAUAUUUUGACCAUGUCAAUUAUUCGUAUUCUCACGUAUUUUCCGCAAGUGAUUCUAGCGAUGAUUUCGACGAUAAUAGUUCUUAAAUUUUAUUUUUGAACUUUUAUUUUGUAUUACUCUUUAUGUAAUUUUCCAUUUUCAUUAAUAAAAUUGUCUUUUUGUUAAUGUCAAAAGGGGGAAGAUAAGGGGAUAUG
rnacentral:lncRNA from 1 species